rnacentral:pre_miRNA from 1 species
GCAUUGACCUUGUUGGUUACCUUAAAGGGUAGUGUGGUUCACAGCAGUUUGUGAAAAACCUGUGGAUCUAACUUCCCUUAGUGUAACCCAGGGUGGAGC